AUUGAACGCUGGCGGCAUGCCUUACACAUGCAAGUCGAACGGCAGCACGGGGCAACCUGGUGGCGAGUGGCGAACGGGUGAGUAAUGCAUCGGAACGUACCUUUCAGUGGGGGAUAACGUAGCGAAAGUUACGCUAAUACCGCAUAUUCUGUGAGCAGGAAAGCAGGGGAUCGCAAGACCUUGCGCUGAUUGAGCGGCCGAUGUCAGAUUAGCUAGUUGGUGAGGUAAAGGCUCACCAAGGCGACGAGCUGUAGCGGGUCUGAGAGGAUGAUCCGCCACACGGGAACCGAGACACGGGCCAGACUCCUACGGGAGGCAGCAGUGGGGAAUUUUGGACAAUGGGGACAACCCUGAUCCAGCCAUGCCGCGUGAGUGAAGAAGGCCUUCGGGUUGUAAAGCUCUUUCGGCCGGGAAGAAAUCGCACGGGCUAAUACCCUGUGUGAUGACGGUACCGGAAUAAGAAGCACCGGCUAACUACGUGCCAGCCGCCGCAGUAAAAC
rnacentral:rRNA from 1 species